CUCUCUCUGUAUGUAUGUGUGUAUAUGCAUGUGGGGAUAUUAUAUUUCUUAAAGUCUGGACAAAUAGCUUACCAUGCAUGAACAGAUUUAC
rnacentral:miRNA from 11 species